GUGACUCGGGGAAGAUGGCCGCGCUGACGGCGGAGGUCUUUGCAGCUCUCCAGAGCUUGCUGAAGGCCUCCUCAAAAGAUGUUGUCAGACAGCUGUGCCAAGAGAGCUUUUCCAGUUCAGCCCUUGGCUCGAAAAAGCUCUUGGAUGUUAGGUGUUCCAGCUUGUCUGUGACCCAGGAGGAGGCAGAACAAGUAACAACCUCCUGUGGCCUCCGGGGAAGUCCUAAAGCGCUCCAGGCUCUGCACCGCCUCACCAGGCUAGUGGGGUUCCGUGACCUGUCCUCCGCCGAGGCGAUUCUGGCACUCUUUCCUGAAAAUUUCCACCCAAACCUCAAAAACCUGCUGACAAAAAUCAUCCUAGAACACGUAUCUUCUUGGAGAGCUGAAGCCCAAACAAAUCAGAAGGCGUGCUGUGUGGAUCACAUGCAUUACACACGUGCAGCCCUUGGAGCUGCCUGUCGUCGAGGAAAGGCUCAGUAAUGCAGGAGGCGUGAGCGCUGAGCCGAGCUGUCCCCACACAGUCUCUCCGCUGCGCCUGGUCGACCUGGACUGGAGGGUGGACAUCAAAACCUCCUCGGACAGCAUCAACCGCGUGGCCGUCCCUGCCUGCCUGCUCCGGAUGAAGAUCCAGGAAGAUCCCAGUCUGUGGGGAGCAGCCCUCCAUGUCAGCUGUCACCGUGGAGCUGAGUAAGGAGACCCUGGACACGAUGUUAGACGGGCUGGGCCGCAUCCGGGACCAGCUCUCCGCUGUGGCCAGCAAGUGACACGGCCAGCCGGCCCCCAGCACACGCCGUCCUC